rnacentral:rRNA from 1 species
UACGUAGGGGGCAAGCGUUGUCCGGAAUCAUUGGGCGUAAAGAGCGUGUAGGCGGUUCGGUAAGUCGGCUGUGAAAGUCCAGGGCUCAACCCUGGGAUGCCGGUCGAUACUGCCGGACUAGAGUUCGGAAGAGGCGAGUGGAAUUCCCGGUGUAGCGGUGAAAUGCGUAGAUAUCGUAAGGAAGACCAGUGGCGAAGGCGGGUCUCUGGACAGUUCCUGACGCUGAGGCACGAAGGCCAGGGGAGCAAACGGG